CCUACGGGAGGCUGCAGUGGGGAAUAUUGGACAAUGGGCGAAAGCCUGAUCCAGCCAUGCCGCGUGUGUGAAGAAGGCCUUCGGGUUGUAAAGCACUUUCAGUGGGGAAGAAAGCCUUGGGGCUAAUACCCUCGAGGAAGGACAUCACCCACAGAAGAAGCACCGGCUAACUCCGUGCCAGCAGCCGCGGUAAUACGGAGGGUGCGAGCGUUAAUCGGAAUUACUGGGCGUAAAGCGCGCGUAGGCGGUCUGAUAAGCCGGUUGUGAAAGCCCCGGGCUCAACCUGGGAACGGCAUCCGGAACGGUCAGGCUAGAGGGCAGGAGAGGAAGGGAGAAUUCCCGGUGUAGCGGUGAAAUGCGUAGAGAACGGGAGGAAUACCAGUGGCGAAGGAGGCCUUCUGGACUGACACUGACGCUGAGGUGCGAAAGCGUGGGUAGCAAACAGGAUUAGAUACCCUAGUAGUC
rnacentral:rRNA from 1 species